AGGGUUUGAUCAUGGCUCAGGAUGAACGCUGGCGGCGUGCCUAACACAUGCAAGUCGAGCGAAGCACUUGCGAUUGAUCCUUCGGGUGAUUUUGCUGGUGACUGAGCGGCGGACGGGUGAGUAACGCGUGGGUAACCUGCCUCAUACAGGGGGAUAACAGUUAGAAAUGACUGCUAAUACCGCAUAAGCACACAGUACCACAUGGUACAGUGUGAAAAACUCCGGUGGUAUGAGAUGGACCCGCGUCUGAUUAGCUAGUUGGUGAGGUAACGGCUCACCAAGGCGACGAUCAGUAGCCGACCUGAGAGGGUGAUCGGCCACAUUGGGACUGAGACACGGCCCAA
rnacentral:rRNA from 1 species